rnacentral:piRNA from 1 species
UCUCUAAGAAAAAAUUAUUGA